GGGUGUAUAGCUCAGUGGUAGAACACAUGCCUAGCAUGCAGGAGGUCUGGGGUUCAAUCCCCAGCACCUCCA
rnacentral:tRNA from 1 species